rnacentral:rRNA from 1 species
AGGGGGUUUGAUCCUGGGGCUCAGGACGAACGCUGGCGGCGUGCCUAAUACAUGCACAGUCGAGCGGAUUUCUUUAGAGCUUGCUUUAAAGAAAUUAGCGGCGGACGGGUGAGUAACACGUGGGCAACCUGCCUGUAAGACUGGGAUAACUUCGGGAAACCGGAGCUAAUACCGGAUAAUAUAAAAGACCUCCUGGUCUUCUAUUGAAAGUUGGUUUCGGCUAACACUUACAGAUGGGCCCGCGUCGCAUUAGCUAGUUGGUGAGGUAAUGGCUCACCAAGGCAACGAUGCGUAGCCGACCUGAGAGGGUGAUCGGCCACACUGGGACUGAGACACGGCCCAGACUCCUACGGGAGGCAGCAGUAGGGAAUCUUCCACAAUGGACGAAAGUCUGAUGGNAGCAACGCCGCGUGAGCGAUGAAGGCCUUCGGGUCGUAAAGCUCUGUUGUUAGGGAAGAACAAGUGCGAGAGUAACUGCUCGCACCUUGACGGUACCUAACCAGAAAGCCACGGCUACUACGUGCCAGCAGCCGCGGGUAAUACGUAAGUUGCAAGCGUUGUCCGAAUUAUGGGCGUUAAGCGCGCGCAGCGGUUUCUUAGUCUGAUGUGAAGCCCCCGGCUCACC